rnacentral:RNase_P_RNA from 3 species
AAAGCAGAUCGCCUUAUCGCUGUAUGAAUUUUCAUAGAGAGGAAAGUCCGGACACCAUAGCACAUUGUAGCGGCUAACAGCCGUCCGUUUUUAAGACGAGGACAAGUGCAACAGAAAGAAUGUACAGGUUAAGCUGUAGUGAAACCAGGUAAACUCUACAAGGUGCAAUGUCAUGUAAAUCAACGUUUGAGGGUUGUGCGCCCAAUGUUGAAGGGUAGGCAGCUAGAGAUUAUUGGCAACAAUAAUUCAAGAUAAAUGAUAAGGGCUUCUUUUAGGAGUACAGAAUCCGGCUUAUAGAUCUGCUUUUUUU